rnacentral:ncRNA from 2 species
AAGUUAUCAAGAGUGCAGGGAGGGAACUAGCCCAAUGAACUGCCAGCAACCCUACGAUAGUGUAGAAGGUGCUACCUCUAGCCCACCGUGGGGAGAUACGA